rnacentral:SRP_RNA from 1 species
GCCAGGCAUGGUGGCGGGUGCCUGUAAUCCCAGCUACUCAGGAGGCUGAGGCAGGAGAAUCGCUUGAGCCCAGGAGGCAGAGGUUGCAGUGAGCUGAGAUCACGCCACUGCACUCUAGCCUGGGCAACAAAGCAAGAUUCUGUUUCAA